rnacentral:lncRNA from 10 species
AGAAGAGAUGGCAGAGAACUUGCUCAGUCUCUCUGCCACAUGAGGAACCUAGCAAGAAGAUGGGCCAUCUGCAAACUAGGAAGAGGGCACUUUCCUGAACUCAGCCAUGCUGGCCCCUCAUCACAGACUUCCAGCCUCCAAAACUGGGCCAAAUAUCUAUGUCCAAGAUUUUGAUGUGGCUCAACCUUCUACUCUGGGCACAAGUGGUGGCCGUUCUUUCCAGUUUCUUCCGCCCGUCACAUCAUCCAGCCCAGCCGCCACCAACUCUCCAUUAGGAAGGUCAGCCUGCACUCUUGGGGUCAUGGCAUAGUUGCUUCCAAGUAAUUGUGCUUCCCUGGGACAUGCUUCCUGCUUGCUCCACCAUCCGUCCUUUUCUUUGAUAUGUGGCCUU